rnacentral:rRNA from 1 species
CGGGGCCUACGGGAGGCAGCAGUGAGGAAUAUUGGUCAAUGGGCGCGAGCCUGAACCAGCCACGUCGCGUGAGGGAAGACGGUCCUAUGGAUUGUAAACCUCUUUUGUCGGGGAGCAAAAGACGCCACGCGUGGCGUUCCGAGAGUACCUGAAGAAAAAGCAUCGGCUAACUCCGUGCCAGCAGCCGCGGUAAUACGGAGGAUGCGAGCGUUAUCCGGAUUUAUUGGGUUUAAAGGGUGCGUAGGCGGAGUGUCAAGUCAGCGGUAAAAUUUCGGGGCUCAACCCCGUCGUGCCGUUGAAACUGA